CAAGUCGCGCGUGAAAGCCUUCGGGCGAGUAAAGCGGCGAACGGGUGAGUAACACGUAAUCAACCUACCCCUAAGAUCGGAAUAACCUCUGGAAACGGAGGGUAAUGCCGAAUGGUCCCACGAGGAGGCAUCUCCAUGUGGGUAAACGGUCAGCUGCUUAGGGAGGGGAUUGCGGGCUAUUAGCUUGUUGGUGGGGUAACGGCCUACCAAGGCGAUGAUGGCUAGCGGGUCUGAGAGGAUGAUCCGUCACACUGGGACUGAGACACUGCCCAGACUCCUACGGGAGGCUGCAGUCGAGAAUCUUCCGCAAUGGGCGAAAGCCUGACGGAGCGACACCGCGUGUAGGAUGAAGGCCUUAGGGUUGUAAACUACUGUCACGUUAUAGGAAUACUGACCAAAACGAGAGGAAGCGCCGGCUAACUCCGUGCCAGCAGCCGCGGUAAUAC
rnacentral:rRNA from 1 species